rnacentral:rRNA from 1 species
UACAGAGGUCCCAAGCGUUGUUCGGAUUCACUGGGCGUAAAGGGUGCGUAGGCGGUCGGGUAAGUCUGAUGUGAAAUCUCACAGCUUAACUGUGAAACUGCAUUGGAUACUAUCCGGCUCGAGGAAUGGAGGGGAGACUGGAAUACUUGGUGUAGCAGUGAAAUGCGUAGGUAUCAAGUGGAACACCAGUGGCGAAGGCGAGUCUCUGGACAUUUCCUGACGCUGAGGCACGAAAGCCAGGGGAGCAAACGGG